UGGAGUUAUUGGAAUUCUUUGCGACCAACUUAAUCACAGAUUCUGUAUUACCAAUACUUCCAUCCGUGAGAACAAAUACUUGUCUCGGCAAGCCUUUCAUGGGUGCAUGGCUGAAGAUGUCCUUGAGAGGGUCAAAAAGUUCUGUGCCACCAAGGUCUGCUUGCAGGUUUUUUGCGUGUUUUACUGCAAUCUCCAAAUUUUUCUGAUUGUAGGCCACACUCUCGGGAAACAGAUGUUCAUAACUGCUUCCAAAACCAAUCACAUUGAAAUAACAACCUUCAGGGAUACUUUUUAGGAAUAGCAAGAGUGUUUGGGAUGCAUCUUGGAUGUAAGAACCAGCCAUGCUUCCACUGCGAUCAAUAACAAACACAAAUUCACAUGCAGCUUGGAGACAUGAGGUGUCACCUUUGAAUUCUGGGAAGAAGCUGACCAUGACGACCGUGUUUUUCUGGAAAUCGUUUUCACCAUUUGACAAACCAGGUUCAACGAUUACCAAAGGUUUAUGAGCUUCCUUUGGUUGAACCAGAAUGACUAUAUCUGUUUGUUUAUCUUCAGCCAAUGAAACGUUAAUAUUCUGACCAGUAUUUUCAACAUGAAUUUCGUGGGAUGGCGAUGUCACAUUUGCAAUACCAGGAGCUCCAUUGAUCACCAUGUCAAAUUUAUAUUCUGGGGGUCCUGUAGCAUGGUGAACUGGGCCACUUCCUGAAGUGGGAUUUUCUGGUGCUAGGGGAUCUGUACUUCCAGGAGGUGUGUACCGGGGUUUUAGUACCGUUGGUAGAACAAACCGUACUGCUCCAUCAGGUUCAACAGCCAGCUCGCCGACCAUCGUGAGUUGUAUCACAGCUUUCUCGCCCGGGGGGAGAUUACCCAGAACUAAACUAAAUAUGUCACCCUUUUUUUCUUCCCCAAAAGCGGCUGUACGCCCUCUUGAUAUAGCUUCCUGGUACAUCUCCCUCGCUUUUUCCUUUUCCUGGAUCUCUGCUCGGAUCUUUCUGCCAUCGAUGCAGGCUUCUAAACCAACGACGGCGUAAGAAUCGUCGACGGGCGUACGGAAAAAUACUUCGAGUGGAUUAGAGGUGUUGUUGUCAUAGGUCAACGUCGAGCGAAAUCCUACUACAUAGCCCUGUAGAAAUGCUCGUACGGAAAGACUUUUUAAUGGAAUUGCUUCGUUUUGACCACAAAUAAACAAACCUUCCAACAACAUUUUGCCACAAACUUCUAGAGAAGAUUAAAAGCCAGAAAUUUCGCUUUACUCGUCUUUAAAUUUUAAUUACUGACACUCGGAAGACGUACAAAU